GAUGAACGCUGGCGGCGUGCCUAAUACAUGCAAGUCGAGCGAACAGACGAGAGUUCUUGCACUCUCUGACGUUAGCGGCGGACGGGUGAGUAACACGUGGGUAACCUACCUAUAAGACUGGGAUAACUUCGGGAAACCGGAGCUAAUACCGGAUAAUAUUUAGCUUCGCAUGAAGCAAUAGUGAAAGACGGUUCUGCUGUCACUGAUAGAUGGACCCGCGGUGUAUUAGCUAGUUGGUGAGGUAACGGCUCACCAAGGCAACGAUUCAUAGCCGACCUGAGAGGGUGAUCGGCCACACUGGGACUGAGACACGGCCCAGGCUCCUGCGGGAGGCAGCAGUAGGGAAUCGUCCGCAGUGGUCGAAAGUCUGACGGAGCAAUGCCGCGUGUGUGAAGAAGGUGUUCGGUUCGUAAAACUCUGUUGUGAGGGAAGAACAAGUACGUUAGUAACUGAACGUACCUUGACGGUACCUUAGCAGAGAGCCACGGCUAACUACGUG
rnacentral:rRNA from 1 species